GUUGCCAUCGGGUAAUGCCGGGCGACUCUGGAAGGACUGCCAUCGACAAGAUGGAGGAAGGUGGGGAGUGACGUCAAGUCAUCAUGGCCCUUAUGUCCAGGGCGACACACGUGCUACAAUGGCCGGCACAACGGGAAGCGAGUCGCGAGGACGAGCGGAUCCCUCAAAGCCGGUCGCAGUUCGGAUUGAAGUCUGCAACUCGACUUCAUGAAGCUGGAAUCGCUAGUAAUCGUGGAUCAGCCAAGCCGCGGUGAAUACGUUCCCGGGCCUU
rnacentral:rRNA from 1 species